AAGUCGUAACAAGGUUUCCGUAGGUGAACCUGCGGAAGGAUCAUUAGAGAUUGGCCUCACGGCCGUUUUCAUCCACACACACACCGUGAACCGUUCCCCUGCCUCUCGGGGCUUGGGACCAUCCAACCAAACAUUGUAUAAAGAACGUAAACAUCGUAAACAAAACAAAA
rnacentral:misc_RNA from 1 species